AGAGUUUGAUCCUGGCUCAGGAUGAACGCUAGCUACAGGCUUAACACAUGCAAGUCGAGGGGAAACGACAUCGAAAGCUUGCUUUUGAUGGGCGUCGACCGGCGCACGGGUGAGUAACGCGUAUCCAACCUGCCCACCACUUGGGGAUAACCUUGCGAAAGUAAGACUAAUACCCGAUGACGUCUCUAGAAGACAUCUGAAAGAGAUUAAAGAUUUAUCGGUGAUGGAUGGGGAUGCGUCUGAUUAGCUUGUUGGCGGGGUUAACGGCCACCAAGGCGACGACCAGUAGGGGUUCUGAGAGGAAGGUCCCCCACAUUGGAACUGAGACACGGUCCAAACUCCUACGGAGGCA
rnacentral:rRNA from 1 species